rnacentral:rRNA from 1 species
UGCCUUAGUAACGGCGAGUGAAGCGGCAAAAGCUCAAAUUUGAAAUCUGGUACCUUCGGUGCCCGAGUUGUAAUUUGGAGAGGGCAACUUUGGGGCCGUUCCUUGUCUAUGUUCCUUGGAACAGGACGUCAUAGAGGGUGAGAAUCCCGUGUGGCGAGGAGUGCGGUUCUUUGUAAAGUGCCUUCGAAGAGUCGAGUUGUUUGGGAAUGCAGCUCUAAGUGGGUGGUAAAUUCCAUCUAAAGCUAAAUAUUGGCGAGAGACCGAUAGCGAACAAGUACAGUGAUGGAAAGAUGAAAAGAACUUUGAAAAGAGAGUGAAAAAGUACGUGAAAUUGUUGAAAGGGAAGGGCAUUUGAUCAGACAUGGUGUUUUGUGCCCUCUGCUCCUUGUGGGUAGGGGAAUCUCGCAUUUCACUGGGCCAGCAUCAGUUU